UCCAGUCCGAGUUAUACAAUCCCGAAAUAGAAAAAUACGGAAAUGUAAAUCCUAUUCUAAACUAAUCCUAGACUAAGCUCCAAUGCCUCGCCCGAUGCCUCGGGCUCUGAUCACGAACAUCCUCCGUGUACCUGAUACGUCGGGGCAUUUUUCGGUGAAUAAAUACAAUGUGUCUCGAGGCAUUCUCCGGCUAAAUGAAUACAUCUAAAUUAAAUACGACAAACUAAACUAAAAAAAAAACAUUAACACAGAUUCAAACAUUCAAUGCAUUCAACAACACAUCACUCCUAAAUUUUGCCUACUUGAACCUAAACAUUUGUCUACUAGAUUCGAUUUAUCACAAUUCCAACAAAUUCAAUGUAAUUGAAGAUCCAAAAAUUAACACGAAUUCACUUCAUCAUGUUUAACCCCUCCCAAAAUUCCUUUUAACACAUGAACUUCGACAUGAAAAUAGUUAUCAAGCCAUAUCAACAUCAAUUUCAUACCAACAACUAGCUAUUCAAAUAAACAACACCAAGUAUCAACAAAAUUCUCAAUCAGUCAUCGUCAAAUACAUAAUGGUAAUAAGAGAGUCGAGUCGAGUCGAGAAUGGGACCUCAGAAGCUUUCGAUUAACUUGAAAAGACAGAUGAGAGCCGCUCCGAGAACCUCAACGAACACCGAAAUCUCAACUAUGAACCAAUUCGAGCACAAAAAUCCCUCGAAAUCCAAUUCGAAAAGAGAACCCGUGAAGGACAGUGAACGAACUCUAACUUGGUAUUGAGAAACGGAGCCCCGAAACAGACCACAACGAACCCACCGAGAUAAACGAUGUACUCAACACUCCGAUAAGCUCAGACAGCGGCGGAUAUCGAUGAACAAGGCUAAUUCCGGUGAUUUUAACGUUUUCAGGACAGAUUCAUACUUGAAUCGAUCAAAAGGGUGACCUGUAAACCUGAUUCCGGCAAAAAGGUUCACCGGAUAAAAAACUUUUCUUCACUGUGAGAAGACCCGUCUCCUAAAUAUGUGCAUGAAGACCCCUGUAUCACCCCAUCCUCUCCCUUACUGUGUGCCUAUACGUAUAUGGUGUUCUUCAGAGAUUUGGGUGUACCAAAAAGAAAAGAGAAGAUGAAAUUAUGGUGAGUGUGUGAUUUGUGGUGAAGACAGAACCAACAUGGCGUCCCUCCGUAUCGAUAGUGUUUUUUCUUUCGUGAGGUGCGUCUUCUGUGUGUGUGAGUAUAUGAGAGUGAUGACUUGUAUAUGGCAGUGGUGUGUGUGUGCGUUUUUGCGUGCUCUAUUACUGGAAAUGUGAGGUUGUGUGUAGGUUAUAUGGUGGAGAAAUGAUAGAUGAUCCCG
rnacentral:lncRNA from 1 species